UUAAAUUGAAGAGUUUGAUCAUGGCUCAGAUUGAACGCUGGCGGCAGGCCUAACACAUGCAAGUCGAACGGUAACAGGAAGCAGCUUGCUGCUUCGCUGACGAGUGGCGGACGGGUGAGUAAUGUCUGGGAAACUGCCUGAUGGAGGGGGAUAACUACUGGAAACGGUAGCUAA
rnacentral:rRNA from 1 species